CUACCGCUAUUGGAGUUCGAUUAAGCCAUGCGAGUCCAGAGCUUUCGGAGCUCGGCGUACCGCUCAGUAACACGUGGGUAACCUAACCUAUGCAGGGGAAUAACCUCGGGAAACUGAGUAUAAUGCCCCAUAGUCCACUACGCCUGGAACGGUGAGUGGAUCAAAGCUCAGGCGGCAUAGGAUGGGCCUGCGGCGUAUCAGGUUGUAGGGGGUGUAAAGUACCCUCUAGCCAUCUACGCGUACGGGUGUUGGGAGACAUAGCCCGGAGAUGGAUUCUGAGACACGAAUCCAGACCCUACGGGGUGCAGCAGGCGCGAAAACUUGACAAUGCGAGCAAUCGUGAUCAGGGAACUCCAAGUGGCUGGGGUAAGACCCAGUCUUUUCAUAACUCUUCAAAGGUUGUAGAAUAAGGGGUGGGUAAGGACGGUGCCAGCCGCCGCGGUAAUACCGGCGCCUCAAGUGGUAGUCGCUUUUAUUGGGCCUAAAACGUCCGUAGCCGGUUUGGUACAUUCGUGGGUAAAUCAACUCGCUCAACGAGUUGAAUUCUGCGAGGACGGCCAGACUUGGGACCGGGAGAGGUGUGGGGGUACUCUCAGGGUAGGGGUAAAAUCCUGUCAUCCUGAGAGGACCACCUGUUGCGAAGGCGCCACACUAGAACGGAUCCGACGGUCAGGGACGAAGCCCUAGGGGCACGAACCCGGAUUAGAUACCCGGGUAGUCCUAGGUUGUAAAACGCUGUGGACUUGAUGUUGGAAGAA
rnacentral:rRNA from 1 species